rnacentral:lncRNA from 1 species
UAAAUUAAUUAAAUUAAUUAGCUCUAAAAUUAUGCAAUGAAGAUGAUUGCACACUGCAACAAAUUCAACAUCUAAAAUCAAACUUGACAACAUUUCCCAUGAAAUUUUUGCUGAACAGAAGUGUUUAUUAUAGAAAUAAAACUUUAUUAAAUGUUUGUUAUCUGACAUAAACCAGUUCCAGUUACUCAUCUAUUUUAAUAGAAAACCAAAACAAUCCCCUAACUGUUUUACUCAGAGAUAAGUAAUCCUUGAAGAAGAUAGCUCGCUAUCCAAAAGCAAGUUUAUUUGUUCAAUUGUCUACAUUUUAUACCUACCCACAGUUUAAGAAUUGGGUUAAUGGUCAGUGACCAUCCCGUUCAUUUCUAUUUGUGUUUAAGCUGUCAAUAUAGCACAUAAAACAAAAAAGUUGGAGAAGUUUAAUCUUGAAAUUCUGGAAAAUUAAAAUCUCUUUCAUGGAGUUUCCACACUUAAGCAAAUUGCCACAGUCAGUGCACUGAAUUCUUGCACUGAAAAGUUUGCUCAAGGCAAAGGGGAAGUGCAUUUGUGGAAAACAAAUUUUAUUUUAAGACAGAUAACCAAAACUUGUAUUCUAAAAAUACAGACUGGAGGGAAAGCUGAUUGUUCACCCAUUAUUCUUUAAUAAGAAAAAUUUAAGAACUGAAUUGAGGUCUUUCAAAUCCUUAUGUUGUAAAAGGGGACUUCUUUUAUGAUACUCAUGUCCAAAAUAACCCUCAUUGCACUAAAAGGGUCUGUUGCAGCUGACAAAUAAGGAAGUAAACAGAGUAAAACGGUUUGGCCUUAGUGAUUCUCUGGCCAGCAGGUGGCAAACUCGGGUUUUUCCAAAACCAGGUUUAGUGAGGAAUUCAGUGUUCUGCAUCUCCUUGCUCAGGGCAGGGCACUGGGGGUGCUGGGCCCUGCAGGGAGGGAGGAGCUGUUUGUGCAUUGCUGAACAACACGAGGGGGAGACCAGGCCUGGCAGAAACAGUUUAAGUCUUGAGAAUUUUACUAUUUCCUCAAGUCCAUGGAUGUUAAUUAGCUCCAUCUUCUGGAAGAUGUGGAGCUGACUGAUGAAAGCCUUCAAUACUCAGACUGAACCCACCACCAACCCCAAGGACUUCUGACCACCAACCCCAACAAAACUUCACCUUCAAAACCAACAACUUCUCAUCAUCAAAACAAACAACUUACCUUCACCGACUUCUUAUCUUCAAACCUGACAUUACCAAUAGUGACCAUCAAAACUUAAGAUUUAUUAUCAAUUACCAUCAAGACAAAAUCCAGUCAUAAGUGGUGCUUAACAUUUCUGUACAGAAUUUUACCAUAUAAGAACUUUUUUUUAGUUUUUAACUUGAGACUUUGUUUUUUAAAAUAUACUUCUAAUCCAAAAGGGUGAAAACUUUUUACAACUGCUGAACAUUGUAAAUUACCACAUAAAUAUCUCACUGAGCUGAGAUAAUGCCCUGGAAUAGACCAUCUCAAAUGCUGCUUAAUUACAGACUCAGGUUGACUUUAUGUUAUUCAUGUAAUGUUACUCCAAGUUAAGACAUCUGGUGCAAGAGCGACCAGGAAUUAUAAAAGUUGCAACUGACAGUCUGUAUAUUUAAUUUAAAGACUUAUUUAAAACUUCACAAGUUUUGCAAGAGCUUCAUUUUUUUUUUUUUUCCUGUGGUCUGACACUAGAAACUAAUUUACUUCACAUUUGAGUUAUAUUCAAGAUCUGAAGAAAAUCUUCUGGUUUUUGACAUUGUGAAACAACGAAUAUGCAGUUCUGAAUGUAUCUCUCAAGACUAUUUGUAUAUUGUUCCAUAAGUUUUUAUUACAUUUUCUUAAUAUACUGUCAUUUGUCUUAAGUCUCAGUUGUCUGUUUUGUCUCUCUAAAGUGUCUAGUUACAGACAAAUUCAUACUGUGAUUUUUAUUUUUAUUAUUAAAUGCUAUCAAACUGUGAUGCACUUAUUAUUCACUGGUCCUGCAUCAGGAGAUGAGUGGGGAACCUGUAUUAAAUACAGUUCAUCUGAAUAAUCUGUCUGGUUUAUACAAGCUGUGUUGUUCAGAGAUGUCUAAAG